rnacentral:lncRNA from 1 species
AUUGUUUAUGUUUGUCUUUUUAUUUUUGCAUUGAUGUGAUGUAUGUGUGAUUUUUUUUAUGUUUGUCUUCCUUUUUUAUAUUGCACUCAGGUGAAUAUAAAGUAGAGAUUUCAAAACACAUGUUUAACCCUGCCGCAUUUUUGCGCCUGUCCCAAAUCAGGACCUGCAGCUGGCCUUUGCUAGUCCUGUAUGAUUUUUACUUUAAGUUUCUUGUGUAUACUUAUGAGUUUAAAAUGACUUGCAUGAAUUGGUUAUAUAUCUCGAACCGAUUCUGUUAAUACUUUGGGUAUAGUUUCUAAAACUGUUCGUUAAAACCGUUAUCAUACACGUAGAAAAAUUACUUUGAAAUAAAAUUUCGGACCAACCAUACAAAUAUUUCGGACCUAAUUUCUAUUUUAAAAAAACAACGACAGACAUUAUCUAUGAACCAAAC